AGAAUAUACUUUUGGAUACCCAAUCUCCAAUGCAAUUAUCCUUUUGCUCCAGCAAAAUUAAAUAAAGAUGAGGAGGAAAAUGAGGCAUUUUAGGGCUUGAUUUCUCCUAGGGUUUAAUCUUAAGCGCUUUUUGCUCCAAGCAAAUCUAAAAGGAAAACGAGGAGAGGAGAAAACGCGGGAGUUUACGGCUCGAUUUCGCCAAAGGUUAUAAUCAAAAGCACUAUAUGUAAUCAAAUUACAUUAUGAAUUUGACCAAUGCCCACACCAUAGGAUGUCCUGCUCGAUCUGGUGGUUCUACUCAGCCUGUGAUGUCUCAAGUAAAAGUGAAUUUCGCCUAUCACUAAAGACAAUGUACCUGAGUCCCUA
rnacentral:misc_RNA from 1 species